AUUGAACGCUGGCGGCAGGCUUAACACAUGCAAGUCGAGCGGGGUGAUGGUGCUUGCGCUAUCACUUAGCGGCGGACGGGUGAGUAAUGCUUAGGAAUCAGCCUAUUAGUGGGGGACAACAUCUCGAAAGGGAUGCUAAUACCGCAUACGUCCUACGGGAGAAAGCAGGGGAUCACUUGUGACCUUGCGCUAAUAGAUGAGCCUAAGUCGGAUUAGCUAGUUGGUGGGGUAAAGGCAUACCAAGGCGACGAUCUGUAGCGGGUCUGAGAGGAUGAUCCGCCACACUGGGACUGAGACACGGCCCAGACUCCUACGGGAGGCAGCAGUGGGGAAUAUUGGACAAUGGGGGGAACCCUGAUCCAGCCAUGCCGCGUGUGUGAAGAAGGCCUUAUGGUUGUAAAGCACUUUAAGCGAGGAGGAGGCUCUUUUGGUUAAUACCCAAGAUGAGUGGACGUUACUCGCAGAAUAAGCACCGGCUAACUCUGUGCCAGCCGCCGCAGUAA
rnacentral:rRNA from 1 species